rnacentral:rRNA from 1 species
UCUAACGCUGGCUGCGUGCUUAACACAUGCAAGUCGAACGCUGAAGCCCCAGCUUGCUGGGGUGGAUGAGUGGCGAACGGGUGAGUAACACGUGAGUAACCUGCCCCUGACUUCGGGAUAAGCCCGGGAAACUGGGUCUAAUACCGGAUAUGACCUGCUCUCGCAUGAGAGUGGGUGGAAAGUUUUUUCGGUUGGGGAUGGGCUCGCGGCCUAUCAGUUUGUUGGUGAGGUAAUGGCUCACCAAGACGACGACGGGUAGCCGGCCUGAGAGGGCGACCGGCCACACUGGGACUGAGACACGGCCCAGACUCCUACGGGAGGCAGCAGUGGGGAAUAUUGCACAAUGGGGGAAACCCUGAUGCAGCGACGCAGCGUGCGGGAUGACGGCCUUCGGGUUGUAAACCGCUUUCAGCAGGGAAGAAGCGAGAGUGACGGUACCUGCAGAAGAAGUACCGGCUAACUACGUGCCAGCAGCCGCGGUAAUACGUAGGGUACGAGCGUUGUCCGGAAUUAUUGGGCGUAAAGAGCUCGUAGGUGGUUGGUCACGUCUGCUGUGGAAACGCAACGCUUAACGUUGCGCGUGCAGUGGGUACGGGCUGACUAGAGUGCAGUAGGGGAGUCUGGAAUUCCUGGUGUAGCGGUGAAAUGCGCAGAUAUCAGGAGGAACACCGGUGGCGAAGGCGGGACUCUGGGCUGUAACUGACACUGAGGAGCGAAAGCAUGGGGAGCGAACAGGAUUAGAUACCCUGGUAGUCCAUGCCGUAAACGUUGGGCACUAGGUGUGGGGGGCAUUCCACGUUCUCCGCGCCGUAGCUAACGCAUUAAGUGCCCCGCAUGGA